AGUGAACGCUGGCGGUAGGCCUAACACAUGCAAGUCGAACGGCAGCACAGUAAGAGCUUGCUCUUACGGGUGGCGAGUGGCGGACGGGUGAGGAAUACAUCGGAAUCUACUUUUUCGUGGGGGAUAACGUAGGGAAACUUACGCUAAUACCGCAUACGACCUACGGGUGAAAGCAGGGGAUCUUCGGACCUUGCGCGAUUGAAUGAGCCGAUGUCGGAUUAGCUAGUUGGCGGGGUAAAGGCCCACCAAGGCGACGAUCCGUAGCUGGUCUGAGAGGAUGAUCAGCCACACUGGAACUGAGACACGGACCAGACUCCUACGGGAGGCAGCAGUGGGGAAUAUUGGACAAUGGGCGCAAGCCUGAUCCAGCCAUACCGCGUGGGUGAAGAAGGCCUUCGGGUUGUAAAGCCCUUUUGUUGGGAAAGAAAAGCAGCAGGUUAAUACCCCGCUGUUCUGACGGUACCCAAAGAAUAAGCACCGGCCAACUUCGUG
rnacentral:rRNA from 1 species